rnacentral:rRNA from 1 species
GACGAACGCUGGCGGCGUGCCUAAUACAUGCAAGUCGAGCGGACCACUUCGGUGGUCAGCGGCGGACGGGUGAGUAACACGUGGGCAACCUGCCCGUAAGACUGGGAUAACACCGGGAAACCGGUGCUAAUACCGGAUAAUCCUUUCCUUCGCAUGAGGGAAAGCUGAAAGACGGUUUCGGCUGUCACUUACGGAUGGGCCCGCGGCGCAUUAGCUAGUUGGUGAGGUAACGGCUCACCAAGGCAACGAUGCGUAGCCGACCUGAGAGGGUGAUCGGCCACACUGGGACUGAGACACGGCCCAGACUCCUACGGGAGGCAGCAGUAGGGAAUCUUCCGCAAUGGACGAAAGUCUGACGGAGCAACGCCGCGUGAGCGAUGAAGGCCUUCGGGUCGUAAAGCUCUGUUGUCAGGGAAGAACAAGUACCGGAGUAACUGCCGGUACCUUGACGGUACCUGACCAGAAAGCCACGGCUAACUACGUGCCAGCCGCCGCCGUAAAAC